GGCGGGGGGCGGGGGUCCCUCAGCCCAGAUUGCGAAAGAGCACAGGCCAGGCCGAGGGACCCCACUGGUGCACA
rnacentral:pre_miRNA from 1 species